GACGAACGCUGGCGGCGUGCCUAACACAUGCAAGUCGAGCGGAGUUUAGCGGGCGGCGACUUCGGUCAAAGCCUGUUAAACUUAGCGGCGGACGGGUGAGUAACACGUAGGCAACCUGCCCAUGACACGGGGAUAGCUUCGGGAAACCGGAGGUAAUACCCGAUACCUUUACUUAUCGCAUGGUAAGUAAAGAAAGCGACUUAGCGGUCAUGGAUGGGCCUGCGUCCCAUUAGCUAGUUGGUGAGAUAACAGCCCACCAAGGCGACGAUGGGUAGCCGACCUGAGAGGGUGACCGGCCACACUGGAACUUAGACACGGUCCAGACUCCUACGGGAGGCAGCAGUGGGGAAUAUUGCGCAAUGGGCGAAAGCCUGACGCAGCGACGCCGCGUGAACGAAGAAGGCCUUCGGGUCGUAAAGCUCAGUCAUUGGGGAUGACACGGACAGUACCCAAGGAGGAAGCCCCGGCUAACUACGUGCCAGCAGCCGCGGUAAUACGUAGGGGGCGAGCGUUGUCCGGAAUUACUGGGUGUAAAGGGCGUGUAGGCGGGGAUGCAAGUUACUGGUAAAAACCCGAGGCUCAACCACGGGCUUGCCGGUAAAACUGUAUCUCUUGAGUGUAGGAGAGGGAAGUGGAAUUCCCGGAGUAGCGGUGAAAUGCGUAGAUACCGGGAGGAACACCAGUGGCGAAGGCGGCUUCCUGGCCUACUACUGACGCUGAGGCGCGAAAGCUAGGGGAGCGAACGGGAUUAGAUACCCCGGUAGUCCUAGCCGUAAACGAUGGUCACUAGGUGUGGGUGGUGGUCAAGCCAUCCGUGCCGGAGCUAACGCAAUAAGUGACCCACCUGGGGAGUACGGCCGCAAGGUUGA
rnacentral:rRNA from 1 species